GAAAUAUAUAAUAAUUAAGCUGCUAACUUAAUUUAUAGUGGUUAAUUACCAUUAAUAUUUCU
rnacentral:tRNA from 3 species